rnacentral:rRNA from 1 species
GAUGAACGCUGGCGGCGUGCCUAAUACAUGCAAGUCGAGCGAACGGACGAGAAGCUUGCUUCUCUGAUGUUAGCGGCGGACGGGUGAGUAACACGUGGAUAACCUACCUAUAAGACUGGGAUAACUUCGGGAAACCGGAGCUAAUACCGGAUGAUAUUUUGAACCGCAUGGUUCAAAAGUGAAAGACGGUCUUGCUGUCACUUAUAGAUGGAUCCGCGCUGCAUUAGCUAGUUGGUAAGGUAACGGCUUACCAAGGCAACGAUGCAUAGCCGACCUGAGAGGGUGAUCGGCCCCACUGGAACUGGGACCCGGUCCAGACUCCUACGGGAGGCAGCGGUAGGGAAUCUUCCGCAAUGGGCGAUAGCCUGACGGAGCAACGCCGCGUGAGUGAUGAAGGUCUUCGGUUCGUAAACCUCUGUUAUUAGGGAAGAACAUAUGUGUAAGUACCUGUGCCCAUCUUGACGGUACCUAUCAGAAAGCCACGGCUAACUACGUG